rnacentral:rRNA from 1 species
CUUAGGAUGAACGCUGGCGGCGUGCCUAAUACAUGCAAGUCGAACGGAGUUACAAGCAAUUGUGACUUAGUGGCGAACGGGUGAGUAUCGCGUUGGUGACCUGCCCCAAAGCGGGGGACAACAGUUCGAAAGAAUUGCUAAUACCCCAUGUGUCCUUCUAUGGUUAGAGGUAGAAGGGUAAAGGAGUAAUCCACUUUGGGAGGGGCCUGCGUCCCAUCAGCUAGUUGGUAAGGUAACGGCUUACCAAGGCGAAGACGGGUAGGGGACCUGAGAGGGUGGCCCCCCACAAUGGAACUGAAACACGGUCCAUACACCUACGGGUGGCAGCAGUAGGGAAUAUUGCACCAUGGGCGAAAGCCUGAUGCAGCAACGCCGCGUGAGCGAUGAAGGCCUUCGGGUCGUAAAGCUCUUUUCAAGGGGAAGAGGAAGGACGGUACCCUUGGAAUAAGUCUCGGCUAACUACGUGCCAGCAGCCGCGGUAAAACGUAGGAGGCGAGCGUUAUCSGGAUUUACUGGGCGUAAAGCGCGUGUAGGCGGCGUAGAAAGUUGGAUGUGAAAGCUCCUGGCUUAACUGGGAGAGGUCGUUCAAAACUUCUAUGCUUGAGUUUGGUAGAGGAAAAUGGAAUUCCGGGAGUAGUGGUGAAAUGCGUAGAUAUCCGGAGGAACACCAGUGGCGAAAGCGAUUUUCUGGACCAAUACUGACGCUCAGACGCGAAAGCUAGGGUAGCAAACGGGAUUAGAGACCCCGGUAGUCCUAGCUGUAAACGAUGUAGACUUGGCGUUGGGUGGGUAAAACU